GACAGAGGGUGCAAACGUUGCUCGGAAUCACUGGGCGUAAAGGGCGUGUAGGCGGGAAGGAAAGUCAGAUGUGAAAUCCCUGGGCUCAACCCAGGAACUGCAUUUGAAACUCCCUUUCUUGAGUACCGGAGAGGAAGGUGGAAUACCUGGUGUAGAGGUGAAAUUCGUAGAUAUCUGGAGGAACACCGGUGGCGAAGGCGGCAUCCUGGACCGGCAUUGACGCUGAGGCGCGAAAGCCAGGGGAGCAAACGGG
rnacentral:rRNA from 1 species